UAAUUUAAAAUGAUAUAAAGUAUAAAACCGAUUAACGUAGCAACAUAGUAAAGAAGUUUACAAUUUAGUUUUUUUUUAAUAUAAUUAGUUAGUUGGGGGAACCCAACUAAUUGUUUUUUGAAUAAAUUAUUGAAUAAGUGGGGGGAACCAUGGCCUCUAAAGGCCCCUCUAGUCCAUCCACUCCUGCAGGCUAACAUUGAAUGUUUAACGUCCGUUUGGAUUGAUGUUGAGUAUUCUUAGUACUGUCUCUCAAGACUGAUGUUAGUUUCCAACAUUUCCAAUUUAGCUUCAUCACCUGGAAAACCAUGUUCAGCUAGUCCAACUAAAGUCUCAUAUCUCAAGAUUACCAUGUGAGUUUUGAUUAGAUAUUAAUGCAUUACCGAUAAUAAUAGAAUCAUCUAACAUAUAUAAUCCACACACAGUACCUCUACCUAUUAUAUUUGCAUCAUGCGAAAUUUCCAUUAUCAAUACUAGUGUUAUAGCCUAACUCAUCAAACAUAUGCAUAUUGAUAAUAAAUUCCACCUAAGUUCAAGAACACACCUCACAUCUUGCAAUAGGAAUUCACAAUUGUUAUACAUCAUAAGCGAACCAAGCCCAUACCUUGAACUUUACAAGCCUUUCCAUUUCCAAGAUGAACUAUCACACUUUCUUCUAGGUUUAGUGUCUCAAGUAUUCCUUCCUUGAGCACACGUGAAAGGAGCAUCUCGAUUCCAUGACUCAAUUCUCCCCAAGUUCCCAACUUGGUACCACUAAUGCACCCGCAUUGUCAUAAUCAUCCUUUGAAUGAAAUGCAACUUCCAUGAAAUCAUCAUUGCCCCUACUUCAGGAUAAUUCUUCUUAAAGUGAUUAGUCUUCUAACAAAAUAAAAGCACUUCAACUUGUCACUGCUAGUUGAUUUUGAUGUAGCCCAAUCUCGUGUACUCUUAUCCCUUCCUCUAGACACACCCAAGUCUUCUACAAAACUCUCCACCUUAGAGUUUUGACAUUGGAUAUCUCAUUUUCAUCUUAUGAGUCAAUUGGACCUCAUCCAUGGUGAUAAUGUAUUCCUUUCCAUAAAACAUAGUAUCCUUAAAGUGAUCCAAAUAUGUAGGUAAUGCACAUAAUAAGAGUAAAGUUGUAUCCUUAUCCUCAAGGUUCACUUUAAUGUUCAUGAAAUCAUCUAUGGUUUUAUUAAAUUCUUCAUUUGCUCCACAAUGUUCUUUGACUCCAGCAUCCUAAAUAAACAGAGUUGUUGUUUUAGGAGUUGUAUAUGAGCCAAUUAUUUGUUCAUAUACAAAGAAUUUAAUAUGGUCGACAUAGUUGUUGUGGUCUUUUCCUAUGGGCCCUUCCUAAACACCUUAUCUCUGAGGCACAAGAUAGUGGCAGUCGUUGCCUUAUCACUCAUCUCGAUAUUUUAUGAUUGUGUUAGAUUGUCGCCAUCAACGCCUCAUCAUUCAAAACUUAUAAACAUUUUUGUUGAAUUAAAAUUGCUUAUAUCUUCACUGUCUAUAACUCGAUAUCAUUGUCAUUGGAUAAUUUCUCGAUGUCCCAUUUGGUAGACACAAUGCUCACUAUAAUAAAUUUACUCAUUCCCCCACUUGUUGUGGAUUCGAACUUCUUGUUUAAACCAACAAAAACAAAAUUUGUUGUAAAUAAUAAUGAUAAACAACAAUCAAAUGGUCCAAGCAACAAUAAUCAACCAAUAUUAAAUCUGGUAACAUAUAUGUAUAAAAAAUCCACAAUCAUAAACAAAGAUAAAGGAAGAAGAACAAACAUACUAAUUUUCUUAACAUGAUUCGAAUCAUGGAUAACCAUGACCUGAGUCUCCACGACCAACAAUUCAAAAAUACCUAUCUAAAGUCAUUUUCACAAAAAAAAAAAAAAAAAAACCUUACGAACAAAACAAUUAUGUUAUUUGCACUUAGACUUUUGAACAAAAAUAUGACACCACUGUGUUUAUACGAUUUUUUUUCUUCAUUCCCUCCUCUCCCCCCUUCUGCACCAACACACUCUCUGCUACCCCCAUCUUCGUCGGCCUCAACCCAAACCCAUUAUCCUCGUCUCUCUCCCUCUGCUUUGUGUCCCCUAUUUUUUCAUCCCCUUGCUCCACUGCUCCCUCCUCCGUCUUGGAUAUGACCGCCUCACUAUCGACCCACUCUCUCCUCCUCCUCACCCUUACUCUCCUUGUAUAUCUAUCAAACUCAAGAUACAUCAACGACAAUCAAGGUUGUUGGUGACGACGAGACAAAUUGCAAUGAUGGUUAGCGACAACAAUGGGAGGAGACAGAGGGUGAAAGAACAGUAAGGAUAGAGAGAGAGAAGAAGGCAAAGGUUUGUACACUUCUACCCCCACUUUUAAAGUUGAAAUAUCGAAAGUACCCUCGUGUCAAGUAUUUGUCACAUUUAUGUGUUCAAAAUACCGGUGUUAAUAAAAAAAACUUGUAAACUCUAUUUUUGCCACUCCUAUGCGUUGACUUAUGUAUAAAAUAAUCAUUAAAAUUAUGUAUGGCUUUAAUUCAUUCAAAGUAAGGGGAAAACUGUCUAAUGCCCUACAUACAACUCUGAAUUUCAGUCUCACGUCUAUAAGCUCUACCCCUAAAUUUUUGAAAAAUAUAAAAUAAAACAGGCUCCACGCCUAAACAUUCAAAAUUCAAACCUUUACAGUAAGUACUCUAUGAAGAGAAAUAGGGUUUGGUAUUCGGCAUGUGCUCCCAUACUGGCAUCUAUAUGAUAUAGUAAUUAACUUAAUAGUAUGAUUUGAGAGCUUAUUUUUCUCACCCCCUAUACCUGCACUUCAAAUAUAUAUUUUUGAAAAGAAAAAAAAAAAAAACACUUUUUGCCCUUGCAUGUAAAAUAUACUUCUUCUUGAUAAAAUGGUUAACAAUUGAAAAAUAUAAUUUUGAAAGAGUCAAAUAUGUAUUACUGUAUCAACUAUCAAGUACAAAGAGUAAUUGAAAAGUUACUUUAUAGUUGGCAACCAUUAGUGUAAAUACCUAGCUCCCCCAUGUGGUUUUCUUCAUAGUGCCACUAUAUAUCACUGCACAAAUAUAGGAUUUGUUUCUUUUUGCGGGAAAAUAUUUUGUGAAUAUUGACCAAUUCUCACUUCUAAUUGUCUAAGACAGCAAAUAGUUCAAAAGUAUCUCAAUCACAUUGAAUGAUAUAGAUGUUUCUAUCUCAAGAUAGUUGGCAUAGACACGUAUAGUUGUCAUUGCUGGCAGCUUGGAAAGUCAACACAAAAAGCUUAUAUUUAUCCUUUAUCAAUGCUUAUCCUCCAAUGAAAUGUUUCUAAUCACAUAAAAGGGGAGCAUGACAAAAUGAAAAAUUAAAUAUAAUUUUAAUUAUCGAUCA
rnacentral:lncRNA from 1 species